rnacentral:lncRNA from 1 species
UGAAAUAUCUUAUCCUAAAGAGGUUAGAGCAGAAUACUUCUUCAGCGCUCCAAGGGAUUUUGCUCAGGCCAAAGAUGGAGUUCUGCAUUUCAGCAAUAGCACCAGCUCUGCCCCGAUUCAACCUCUCUGUAGUCUCUUCUUCCCCUUCUUCUCCUUCACUUUUCAAGAAUGAUUUUCUUCAAUCCGAUAGCAGACUAUUGUUCAAUCCUCUCAAGAAAUUGCCAGUUCCAUCUUCCCGCCAAUUGUCUUUCCUACAAAACCCGCCCCACAAAUUAAGUUCGACUUGGUUUAUGGUAUCAGCAGCGCCCUCCGCUGUCGAUAGCACUGUAACUGACAAACUCCCGGCUGAUAUUCAAGUCACUGAAACCCCAGAACCCAAUUCUAGAGUGAGUUUUCUGUUUUUCGUAUUUUUCUUGCAUACUCUCCCUCUUAUUGUUGUAAUGAAUUGUUCAAUUUAAGAGUUUUUCAGUAUCAAAAUGAUUAUGAAAUUAAUAAAAAUAGUCUGCGCGUUAGCAAUGUUGGCUGAAUAAUAGGAAAGAGUGAAUAUUUCUUGAAUUUCAUAGAGUUUAUCUUCCAAGUCUUUGAAUUCUGGUCUGCUAAGUGAAUAUCUCUUUCGAAAUUCCGAUUCUUUUGUUUAAUUUAAUGUCCAACAUCAAAGUCCAUAUUUUUCAUGCCAAGAUCACAUUUCGUUGGGACUGUCAUCAAUUAAGAUAAACAACCUUGAAAUUUUCAAUUUUAUUGCUCGUACUGUUUUUCUUCAAAAUUCGAGUUAUAAGCGUCGAAUUUCCUGUCUGAAGGUAAGGUUGAGCGUUGAAGUUCCUGCUGAAGUAUGCGACGAUUGUUACCGAAGAGUCAUCAAAGAGUUUAUGAAGCGCGCAAAGGUGCUCAGUAUCUAGCCUUUAAUACUUUUUCAACUGUCUAUAAAUUAUCAGAAUCAAUGAUCCAAUUGUGCACACUUUAAUUUUGGAAAUUAUCUUGUAUCAUUGCAUUGAAACAAGUCCUUUUGGGAAUUUUGGUACCACUUUUGUGUGAAACAAGUGAGUCUCAAGAAAUUUAGGAUCUCAUUAUGAUAGAUGUAGUCUUAGUCUCGUUUUUCCUGAGUUCAGAAUUAUUAUGUUCAAGUGCUGGUGAUGGAAGAUGACUCUUGUGCGGCUAGAUUUUUAUGAAUUUUCAUUUUUUCAAAUGCUGAUUUUUCCUCUUAAUUUUUCAUCUGUUUUCAUGCUGCUGAAGAAAUGAUUCAAGUAAUAGCAAGUAAUGAAACACAUUCCUGUACUUGUAUCAUGGGAUAUAAAUUUACUGUUACAUUGCUUGUUGUCUCUAUUAGGUCCCUGGGUUUCGUGCAGGGAAGAAUGUUCCAGAAAGCAUUCUCAUAGGUUACGUUGGGAAGGAAACCGUUCAGAAGGCGACAAUUGAAUCUAUUCUGAAGAGAACUCUUCCACAUGCCAUGUCUUCGGUGUGUUUCUUGCCCAGUAAUCUAUUUGUCAUAUUGAAUGUUUGUAGUUACCCUAAGCUCCUUGUAUUAUGAAAUUGGUCUAAUGCAUAUGGAAAUUAUUUAUUUACUUAAACUAAGAAGAGCUUUUACGAUGCUUUGAGUGAAAAAGAGAACUAAAUACAUAAGAUGUUGGCUUUAUUUUUUAUAAUAUAAAUCAUUGUAAUCUUUCUACUGAAAAGAUAUUUGUUUUCUCACCUUUUAGUAACAUAUUACAAUAAGGAUUUUAUCACUCUUGCUGAAGCCAAUUACCUUCAAUUGGUGCUACUUCAUAGGUGAGUAAAAGAGCCUUAGAAGACUCAGUCCGCAUUUCAACGAAGUUUCCAGAGAUGGAAAAGACUUAUUCUUCUAUGAAAUCUCUGAGGUUUGUGAUCAUUUUUAAGGUUACGAAACCCUUUAUUGUCAAUAAGUUUCAUGGUACUGUAAUAAAUUUGCGGGUAAAUGCUUAUAUGUAUUUCACAGGCACUUCAACUAGGGUAGUGUCUGUGUCCGACACAUGUCGAUAUCGAUACUCCUUAAACACUCCACUGUAAACAUUUUUCUUUUUUUAUUAAAAAUUAUUAUAUAUUUUUAACUCAAAAUUAUUAGCAAAUAAUAAAUAGGUACUCAUAUUUCAAAGAUUUAAGAGAUGUAAAACUAAAUUUAUACUAUAUAAAUUAAGAAUUUUAAAGAAUUUAAUCAACUUAUAAUUGUUAAAAGUCUGUGAUGUAGACUUUUUGAAAAUAAAUUUUAUAAAGAAUAAUUUUUUGAAGAAUAUAUGAUUAAAAAGUAUAAAAAAAAUUAUAAGUUUUGGUAUAAAAUUAUUUAUCCGGAGAAUAUAUAAUUAACAAUAAAUUAAGAAAUAAUAAAAUUUAAAGAAUUUGUAUUGUACCAAAACCUGGCUUAACGGUAAGUUGAAAAUAUUCCUAUGAAAAACGAGCAUUUACCCAGUGAAAUAUCUUAUCCUAAAGAGGUUAGAGCAGAAUACUUCUUCAGCGCUCCAAGGGAUUUUGCUCAGGCCAAAGAUGGAGUUCUGCAUUUCAGCAAUAGCACCAGCUCUGCCCCGAUUCAACCUCUCUGUAGUCUCUUCUUCCCCUUCUUCUCCUUCACUUUUCAAGAAUGAUUUUCUUCAAUCCGAUAGCAGACUAUUGUUCAAUCCUCUCAAGAAAUUGCCAGUUCCAUCUUCCCGCCAAUUGUCUUUCCUACAAAACCCGCCCCACAA